rnacentral:tRNA from 1 species
UCCCUGGAGGACUAGUGGUUAGGCCACAGUGCUCUCACUGCUGCAGAACGAGUUUGAUUCCCGGCCAGGGAA